rnacentral:rRNA from 1 species
GUGAGGAACCUGCCUCAAAGAGGGGGACAACAGUUGGAAACGACUGCUAAUACCGCAUAAGCCCACGGGUCGGCAUCGACCUGAGGGAAAAGGAGCAAUCCGCUUUGAGAUGGCCUCGCGUCCGAUUAGCUAGUUGGUGAGGUAACGGCCCACCAAGGCGACGAUCGGUAGCCGGACUGAGAGGUUGAACGGCCACAUUGGGACUGAGACACGGCCCAGACUCCUACGGGAGGCAGCAGUGGGGAAUAUUGCACAAUGGGGGAAACCCUGAUGCAGCGACGCCGCGUGGAGGAAGAAGGUCUUCGGAUUGUAAACUCCUGUUGUUGAGGAAGAUAAUGACGGUACUCAACAAGGAAGUGACGGCUAACUACGUGCCAGCAGCCGCGGUAAAACGUAGGUCACAAGCGUUGUCCGGAAUUACUGGGUGUAAAGGGAGCGCAGGCGGGAAGACAAGUUGGAAGUGAAAUCUAUGGGCUUAACCCAUAAACUGCUUUCAAAACUGUUUUUCUUGAGUAGUGCAGAGGUAGGCGGAAUUCCCGGUGUAGCGGUGGAAUGCGUAGAUAUCGGGAGGAACACCAGUGGCGAAGGCGGCCUACUGGGCACCAACUGACGCUGAGGCUCGAAAGUGUGGGUAGCAAACAGGAUUAGAUACCCUGGUAGUCCACACUGUAAACGAUGAUUACUAGGUGUUGGAGGAUUGACCCCUUCAGUGCCGCAGUUAACACAAUAAGUAAUCCACCUGGGGAGUACGACCGCAAGGUUGAAACUCAAAGGAAUUGACGGGGGCC